AGUGGGGUAGGAAGGCCCUCCAAGACGAUAGAGUUGAGGGGUGGAGGUUGGAUGGUCCUCCAAGGUCAUAGAGAUGGAAGGGAGUGGGGUUGGAGGGUCCUCCAAGGUCAUAGAGAUGGAGGGGAGAGGUGUAUGAGGGUCCUCCAAGAUCAUAGAGUUGAGGGGUGGAGGUUGGAGGGUCCUCCAAGGUCAUAGAGAUGGAAGGGAGAGGUGUAUGA